UCCCAAUAGAACCAAGAAUUUGACUGGGCCAUUCUUGUCUCCCAGGAAAGGAAGAAUUCUAGACUGUUGUAGCAGGGACUGGUGGUCAACCUUAUCAAAAGCUCACCAGGAACAGGCCUGGGUAUUAGCCAAAGGAAGGAAAAACAAAAUAGUACCCUCACUUGCCUCUGGCACUCACCAGUGUGAAACGCCAUGCUACUAACCCAGGCAGUGACAUGCCAAGCCCAAGAACAAGGGGAACAUGGAGACAAAAGGAUGGCCACAGAGGAGAAUGAGCAAUACAAUCUACAACAAGCCGUGUUUACCCAUCAUGCAAGAGGAAUUUCAUCUUUGCUACACAGACCACCUACCUCGUCUGGGCUGGGCUGUAUGUGGCUUAGUGACAAGUCUAGGCUCUGUAGACUUGAGUGACUAUCAGCAUGCAAUGUGAGCUGAAACCCCAGGAUCCUCCCCUUUAACUUUUAUAAAAGUGAGGAUUUUGCCUGCA